CUACGGGGGGCAGCAGUUAAGUAUCUUUUACAAUGCGCGAAAGCGUGAUAAAGCGAGCCAGAGUGCUGUUUCAAUUGAAACAGCUUUUGCCAAAUGUAAAAAGUUUGGCGAAUAAGGAGUGGGAAAGACCGGUGCCAGCCGCCGCGGUAAUACCGGCAGUUCAAGUCGCAGCCACAUUUAUUGGGUCUAAAACAUCUGUAGCUUGCUUAAUAAGUUCCUUGUGAAAUCUUAUGUCUUAAAUAUAGGCGUGCAGGGAAUACUAUUAAGCUAGAGACUGGAAGGCGUAAGAAGUACUUAUAGGGUAUCGGUUAAAUGAGUUGAUCCUAUAAAGACUAACGAUAGCGAAGGCAUCUUACGAGUACAGAUCUAACAGUGAGGGAUGAAGGCUAGGGUCGCGAAAGGGAUUAGAUACCCUUGUAGUC
rnacentral:rRNA from 1 species